CCUACGGGCGGCUGCAGUGAGGAAUAUUGGUCAAUGGACGAGAGUCUGAACCAGCCAAGUAGCGUGAAGGAUGACUGCUCUAUGGUUUGUAAACUUCUUUUAUAUGGGAAUAAAGUGAGGCACGUGUGCCUUUUUGUAUGUACCAUAUGAAUAAGCAUCGGCUAACUCCGUGCCAGCAGCCGCGGUAAUACGGAGGAUCCGAGCGUUAUCCGGAUUUAUUGGGUUUAAAGGGAGCGUAGGUGGGUAGUUAAGUCAGUUGUGAAAGUUUGUGGCUCAACCGUAAAAUUGCAGUUGAAACUGGUAGUCUUGAGUAUAUUAGAGGUAGGCGGAAUGCGUGGUGUAGCGGUGAAAUGCUUAGAUAUCACGAAGAACUCCGAUUGCGAAGGCAGCUUACUAAACUGUAACUGACACUGAGGCGCGAAAGUGUGGGGAUCAAACAGGAUUAGAGACCCCAGUAGUC
rnacentral:rRNA from 1 species